UACGUAGGGGGCAAGCGUUAUCCGGAAUCAUUGGGCGUAAAGCGCGUGUAGGCGGUUCACCAAGUCCGCUCUGAAAGCCCAGGGCUCAACCCUGGGAGGCGGGUGGAUACUGGUGGACUAGAGUCUGGAAGAGGAGAUUGGAAUUCCUGGUGUAGCGGUGAAAUGCGCAGAUAUCAGGAGGAACACCAACAGCGAAGGCAGAUCUCUGGGACAUGACUGACGCUGAGACGCGAAAGCGUGGGGAGCAAACAGG
rnacentral:rRNA from 1 species